UACGUAGGGGGCAAGCGUUGUCCGGAAUCAUUGGGCGUAAAGCGCGUGUAGGCGGCCCGGUAAGUCCGCUGUGAAAGUCGGGGGCUCAACCCUCGGAUGCCGGUGGAUACUGUCGGGCUAGAGUGCGGGAGAGGCGAGUGGAAUUCCUGGUGUAGCGGUGGAAUGCGCAGAUAUCAGGAGGAACACCAAUAGCGAAGGCAGCUCGCUGGGACGGUACUGACGCGUAAGGCGCGAAAGCGUGGGGAGCGAACAGG
rnacentral:rRNA from 1 species